CAGAGAUUUAAACUCGUACCUUUUGCAUCAUGAUUUAGCAAGUAACACCCGAGCAAAGAGUUCUUUAGUUCGGCCCCCCGAAACUAGGUGAGCUACUCCAAGACAGCCUAAAAUAGGGCAAACCCGUCCCUGUGGCAAAAGGGUGGGAAGAGCUUUGAGUAGAGGUGACAGACCUACCGAACCUAGUUAUAGCUGGUUGCCUGAGAAUUGGAUUCAAGUUCAGCCUCUCGGCUUCUCCUGAAACCAAGAGAGUUAGUCAAAGGGGGCACAGCCCCUUUGAAAUAAGAUACAACUUUUCCAGGAGGGUAAAGAUCAUAUUAAGCUUAAGGUAUGAUGUUUUGGUGGGCCUAAAAGCAGCCAUCCCAAUAGAAAGCGUUAAAGCUCAGACAUACUAUCCUGAUAACCCCAUCUUAACCCCCUAACCUUACCAGGCCGCCCCAUGCCUCCAUGGGAGCGAUUAUGCUAAAAUGAGUAACAAGAGAGGACUCUCUCCUUGCACAAGUGUAACCCGGAAUGGACACACCACCGAACUUUAACGGCCCCAAACAAAGAGGGAAAUGAACACAAACCAGAAGACCACUCACCGUUAACCCUACACUGGCGCGCUCACAAGGAAAGACUAAAAGAGAAAGAAGGAACUCGGCAAACUGGCCUCGCCUGUUUACCAAAAACAUCGCCUCUUGCAAGAAUAAGAGGUCCCGCCUGCCCUGUGACUUUAAAUGUUUAACGGCCGCGGUAUCUUGACCGUGCGAAGGUAGCGUAAUCACUUGUCUCUUAAAUGGGGACCCGUAUGAAUGGCAUAACGAGGGCUUAGCUGUCUCCUUUCUCAGGUCAAUGAAAUUGAUCUCCCCGUGCAGAAGCGGGGAUAAUAACAUAAGACGAGAAGACCCUAUGGAGCUUUAGACACAAGACAGACUAUGUUAAACACCCUCGAACAAGAGACUAAACCCCAUGGCCCCUGUCCUAAUGUCUUCGGUUGGGGCGACCACGAGGAAAAAGAACCCGCGUGCGGACUGGGGGCACCCCUACUACUAAGAGCUCCCGCUCUAAUGACCAGAACAUCUGACCAAACAGAUCCGGCAUAGCCGAUCAACGGACCGAGUUACCCUAGGGAUAACAGCGCAAUCCCCUCCUAGAGCCCAUAUCGACGAGGGGGUUUACGACCUCGAUGUUGGAUCAGGACAUCCUAAUGGUGCAG
rnacentral:rRNA from 1 species